AUUGAACGCUGGCGGCAUGCCUUACACAUGCAAGUCGAACGGUAACGGGCCUUCGGGUGCCGUCGAGUGGCGAACGGGUGCGUAAUACAUCGGAACGUGCCCGAUCGUGGGGGGAAACGAGGCGAAAGCUUUGCCAAUACCUCAUACGAUCUACGAUUGAGAGCAGGGGACUGCAAGGCCUUGCGCGGACGGAGCGGCCGCUGGCAGAUUAGGUAGUUGGUAGGAUAAAAGCUUACCAAGCCGACGAUCUGUAGCUGGUCUGAGAGGAUGAUCAGCCACACUGGGACUGAGACACGGCCCAGACUCCUACGGGAGGCAGCAGUGGGGAAUUUUGGACAAUGGGCGCAAGCCUGAUCCAGCCAUGCCGCGUGCAGGAUGAAGGCCUUCGGGUUGUAAACUGCUUUUGUACGGAACGAAAAGCCUUCUUUUAAUACAGGAGGGUCAUGACGGUACCGUAAGAAUAAGCACCGGCUAACUACGUG
rnacentral:rRNA from 1 species